ACUGAGUUGCCCAAAUAUAAAUACCCCCAGGGAAUACCUUGAGUGUAAGAAUUAUGCUGUUUGUUGAUUAUUUCAGUAAGCAAGUAUUGAAUGCCUUACUGCAAGGCAGACAGGGGAUAGAGUGGACAGACAGACAAGGUCCCUACCCACAUGGAGCAUCCAUACGGCUCAAAGGCAACACAGCAUCAAGGCAAAGGAUGGUAAGAAGCACAUGCCUUAGCAGAGCACAGGCCACACCCCGUACAGGAGACUGGGUUAGACUGGAAUCUGGAGGUUGAGUGAGAGCUCCCUCAGUACAGUGAGCUCCUUGGUGGACAUGCGCAGAGGAUUUCAACCAGAGAGCCGGAAGUUCAAGGAACUGAAAGAAUCUGCGUGUGGACGCUUAAAGUGUGGAGCCUAAAGGGAAGAAGGUGGAGAUUGUCACAGAGCAGAGACCGCUUGGACCAAACUCUUCUUGGAACCAAAGCAACAAGUCUUCAAAGAAGACACUACACUCUUCAGACUUGGAUUGUCAUCUGGGGAUGUUUGGAGAUGGCAUUGGAGACAAAGCUCUCGGCUUCUUGUAGAAGCAUUCUCAUCCUGGGUUUGAAAACCACUCCAGGCUCAGAAGUGGAAUCCACGUGCUGCUCCUACUAGUCCCUUCACUGAGGCUCGGGGUUUGUGCCACUAGUUUGCAUGAUUCUGAAGUGCUGUAGUCAGAACUGGAACUCAGAUACUAAACCCCAGAGUCAGAGCCUGUCUCCUCUAUUUCUUCGGCCUCCAGUAUAAAAUUUUCUACAAUGGCUGCAUGGAGAAAACAGAAAGAAAACACAAACUAAGAAGAAUGGAGGUUAGACUGGAUUAAAGUUGUUCACGGAAGAGCUGCAGCCCUUUCCAUCUCUCUUCCUUCAGUUUGAAGCCCAAUCACUGGAAAAAUACAUACAUCAACAGCUGCCCACUCACGCCCUGCCCAAAUUGCAAUUCGUGUCUUCAAACUGUCUUUGUUUACACCAGAGAAAUUCAAUUAGAGCAGGUAAUACACAUGAGCAGCAUUCCCAAUGGACCCACAGUCUUAUCAAUGAUUUCCUGUCAGUUCAAUGUUAAGUUUGGCUAAAAAUUUUGGAAGCACCAAAUAUCACACAACUACAAUGACUUGGGGUGGCUCCUCAAUGAUGGCAGAGGUGUGUGGCAAGGCUUGUUUUCUAGAAUCAGGAUGACUGCGGGCUGCCAGUCUGGUAGAAUGCACUGCAGGGAUAUUUGCUUAGAUUAUUUUGUUUUAAAAUUAUUAACAUAAAUACAUUUCAGAGAGCCACAAACCAAACAUUAAACUCACUUCUAUCACUUUAAAUUCUAUUUCUGACUUUAUUCAAUUUACUAAAAACUGGGGUGCCCGACUGCUUGGUCCCCAAUCCUGUCUCUUUUUUAUCUACAUUCUCUCCCUACAGGAUCUUAUUCAAUCCCAUUGUUUAAAUAUCAUCUCUGUGCUGAUGACUCAUGCCUUCAUGUCUCCAGGUGUGCCAUCUCCUGGGAGCUCCAAACUCUCAUCUGCCUGCUUGACAUCUCCGUUGGGUCUACAUUUAUAGUCGUCUUAGAAAAAAUGGCCCAAACAGAUCUCUCUCUCUUUUUUUAAGCUUUGUUGAUGUAUAAUUGACAAAUAAAAUU
rnacentral:lncRNA from 1 species